rnacentral:rRNA from 1 species
ACGGCUCAGUAACACGUAGCUAACCUACCCUUAAGUCGAGGAUACUCUCGGGAAACUGAGGUUAAUACUCGAUAGGAGAUGUACCCUGGAAUGAUUCAUCUCUCAAAUUCGAGCUUAAGGAUGGGGCUGCGGCGGAUUAGGUUGUUGGCGGGGUAAAAGCCCACCAAGCCGAUGAUCCGUAAGGGCUCUUAGCGGAGAGGCCCUGAGAGGGAAUCUGAGACACUAUUCCCAGCCCUACGGGGUGCAGCAGUUAGGAAUCUUCUGCAAUGCGCGCAAGCGUGACAGAUUGAGUCAGAGUGCUUUUCAUAUGAAAAGCUUUUGCCAAAUGUAAAAAGUUUGGCGAAUAAGGACUGGGUAAGACGGGUGCCAGCCGCCGCGGUAAUACCCGCGGUCCAAGUCGCAGCCAUCAUUAUUGGGUCUAAAACAUCCGUAGCUUGCUUGAUAAGUUUCUUGUGAAAUUCCAUGUCUCAAAUAUGGAGCGGGCAAGAAGUACUGUUAAGCUAGAGACUGGAAGACGUAAGAAGUACGUUUGGAGUAGCGGUAAAAUGUGUUAAUCCCAGACGGACUAACAACAGCGAAGGCAUCUUACGAGGACAGUUCUGACAGUAAGGGAUGAAGGCUAGGGGCGCGAAAGGGAUUAGAUACCCCUGUAGUCCUAGCAGUAAACACUGCACACUAAACAUUAGUACCUCCUCGAGAGGUGUUAGUGCUGAAGAGAAGUCGAAGAGUGUGCUACCUGGGAAGUAUAGUCGCAAGGCUGAAACUUAAAGGAAUUGGCGGGGGAGCACAAU